UGAUGAGUCAGCCAGUAACUCAAGCUCCUAGUGCCUCAUGUAAGCAACAUUUUGGAGACUUGUGAAUUUCAGGGUCAUGCUGGCGGGAACCGUCAUUUCGGAACUGGGGGGGCUCAUCCACCCUCCUGUGGGUCUCCCAGAAGCAUCCUGACAGCUCAGAGUUGUCAUGUGGCAGAGAACUGGAGCCUGAACUCUUCCAUACACAGGCAGCUGAAGAAGGUGCCAGCAUUCCUCUCCUUGCUCAUGGACGCAGAAAGCCAACAGCUAAAUGCUGUCUGGGUUUGCCUAAGUCUGCGACCACUUGUGGCAAAAAAACAGCCUGACUAAGCCAAAAACAGAUGACUGGUUCAUCACUAAUUGUCCUAACCAUUUGCAUAUUUACAAUGAAAUAAACUUCAAAACCAAUGCCCAUUGCUAAAGCCUCUUGCACAAUAAAUAUUACCCCCACUUGACAGUGCUUUAAAAACACAUUCACUUAUUUUUUGUGUCGUAGUUAUUGACCUACGUAAAGACGUUG
rnacentral:lncRNA from 1 species